GAUGAAGAACGCAGCGAAAUGCGAUAAGUAAUGUGAAUUGCAGAAUUCAGUGAAUCAUCGAAUCUUUGAACGCACCUUGCGCUCCUUGGUAUUCCGAGGAGCAUGCCUGUUUGAGUGUCAUGAAAUUCUCAACCUUUCUGGCUUUUGCUAGUCAGGCUUGGAUUAUGGGAGCUGCUGGCUUUUGAAGUCGUCUCUUCUAAAAUGUAUUAGCAAGAUCAUUGCUGCUCAUCAUUGGUAUGAUAAUUAUCUAUAUCAUUGAGAGUCAGUUUCCUUUAUUGGAAGAUUUUGCUCCUACCGGUCUUUAGCAAGACAACAUUUGACGAUUUUGACCUCAAAUCAGGUAGGACUACCCGCUGAACUUAAGCAUAUCAAUAAGCGGAGGA
rnacentral:misc_RNA from 1 species